AUCACGGGGGAUGACCCCGAGUAUAUUGCCUUUGUAAAGGCCCGUCUUAGUGAGCAGUUUCUUAUGUCUGAUCUUGGACCUCUUCGCUACUUUCUUGGGAUUGAAGUCUCUUCUACCUCUGAUGGCUUUUUUAUAUCCCAGGAAAAGUAUAUCCAGGAUCUUCUUGCUCGUGCUGCUCUUACUGACGAGCGCGUUGUUGAGACUCCUAUGGAGCUCAAUGUUCACCUCCGUGCUACUGAUGGUGAUCCUCUCCCUGACCCGACGCGUUAUCUUCAUCUUGUUGGCAGUCUUGUCUAUCUAGCUGUCACGUGUCCGGACAUAUCUUAUCCGGUUCAUAUUCUGAGUCAGUUUGUCUCUGCUCCCACCUCGGUUCACUAUAGUCAUCUCCUUCGUGUUCUCCGAUAUCUUCGAGGCACGAUCUCUCACCGUCUAUUCUUUCCCCGCUCCAGUUCUUUUCAGCUUCAGGCCUAUUCGGAUGCUACGUGGGCUAGUGAUCCUUCAGAUCGCCGUUCACUUUCUGCUUACUGUGUUUUUCUUGGUGGUUCUCUCAUUGCCUGGAAGACGAAGAAACAGCUUGCAGUUUCCCGUUCGAGUGCCGAGGCUGAGUUGCGAGCAAUGGCUCUUUUGACGGCAGAGGUGACUUGGUUACGGUGGUUACUUCACGAUUUUGGUGUUUCUGUCACU
rnacentral:rRNA from 1 species